GAUAGCCUGAACCAGCCAAGUCGCGUGAAGGAAGACAGUCUAGGAUUGUAAACUUCUUUUAUACGGGAAUAACGGGCGAUACGAGUACUGCAUUGAAUGUACCGUAAGAAUAAGCAUCGGCUAACUCCGUGCCAGCAGCCGCGGUAAUACGGAGGAUGCGAGCGUUAUCCGGAUUUAUUGGGUUUAAAGGGGUGCGUAGGUUGUUCGGUAAGUCAGCGGUGAAACCUGAGCGCUCAACGUUCAGCCUGCCGUUGAAACUGCCGGGGCUGAGUUCAGUGGCGGCAGGCGGAAUUCGUGGUGUAGCGGUGAAAUGCAUAGAUAUCACGAGGAACUCCGAUUGCGAAGGCAGCUUGCCAUACUGCGACUGACACUGAAGCACGAAGGCGUGGGUAUCAAACAGGAUUAGAUACCCUGGUAGUCCACGCAGUAAACGAUGAUUACUAGGAGUUUGCGAUAUACCGUCAAGCUUCCACAGCGAAAGCGUUAAGUAAUCCACCUGGGGAGUACGCCGGCAACGGUGAAACUCCAAGGAAUUGACGGGGGCC
rnacentral:rRNA from 1 species